CCUGCAGCGUGAAACGCUCCGCCGAGCCACGAGACCACAACACGAACUUACAGGGAUCCCCGUCCACACUGUCCUGCAUCGCCAGGAAAACUCUGCGCUCUUUACUGCGAGACAAAACUCCUCCGUCCUGCUCCCAAACACAGAAGGUCUCCUGCUGCAGCAGCUUCCCCUGAGACGUCAACUUCCCCUGCAGGACACACACACAGGGUGUUUCCGGUCCCAGAGCCGCUGCGUUUUGGCCCUGGCGAGCCGACAGCGCCCCCUGGAGCCCCGCCCACUCCAUACACUGUUGGGGAGAUCACACCUGAGAGAGGAAAACAAGACGAGGGUCAACCGAGGUCAUGAUGAGCUCACUGUCUGUAUGGAAGUGACAUCGGGCAAACACGGGAAGCGGCGGCAGCGGCGGCGGCAGAUGGAGGAAGGAGUGACAGAAAAACAUCAUUUCUACGAUGUUGACACUUGUCAUCAAGUCUGAUCGCUUUAACUUUACUGAACAAAGAACAAAAAGUUCAACUGAAGCUGCAGCUGAUGAUGGGAUUAAACAGAACUACAACUAUCAAUACUUUACAUUACGACAUUUUACCACAUUGUACACUGACAGGAAGAGAGAUGUUAUCCAGACACUCACCCCUCCCGGCGCUGACAGCAGAGGAGGAGUUGGAGACGUUGGAGGAGGAGGUGG